rnacentral:rRNA from 1 species
GACGAACGCUGGCGGCGUGCUUAACACAUGCAAGUCGAACGGAAAGGCCCUGCUUGCAGGGUACUCGAGUGGCGAACGGGUGAGUAACACGUGGGUGAUCUGCCCUGCACUUCGGGAUAAGCCUGGGAAACUGGGUCUAAUACCGGAUAGGAGCCAUUUUUAGUGUGAUGGUUGGAAAGUUUUUUCGGUGUAGGAUGAGCUCGCGGCCUAUCAGCUUGUUGGUGGGGUAAUGGCCUACCAAGGCGGCGACGGGUAGCCGGCCUGAGAGGGUGGACGGCCACAUUGGGACUGGGAUACGGCCCAGACUCCUACGGGAGGCAGCAGUGGGGAAUAUUGCACAAUGGGCGCAAGCCUGAUGCAGCGACGCCGCGUGGGGGAUGACGGCCUUCGGGUUGGAAACUCCUUUCGCUAGGGACGAAGCUUUUUGUGACGGUACCUAGAUAAGAAGCACCGGCUAACUACGUG